rnacentral:rRNA from 1 species
GAAGCAGCCAUCAUUUAAAGAAAGCGUAAUAGCUCACUGGUCGAGUCGGCCUGCGCGGAAGAUGUAACGGGGCUAAACCAUGCACCGAAGCUGCGGCAGCGAACGUAUCACCCAAGACAACUUUACGGAGUUGACGAUUGACGGAGCGAAGCGACGUCAAAGCGUUCAUUAAAGUCGAGUUGGCUUAGGGAUACGUUCGUUGGGUAGGGGAGCGUUCUGUAAGCCUGCGAAGGUGGCCUGUGAGGGUUGCUGGAGGUAUCAGAAGUGCGAAUGCUGACAUAAGUAACGAUAAAGCGGGUGAAAAGCCCG